AAUAUUCAUGAUGUAACAUGGUUGCAGAAUAAAUCGCGGAAAUUACCCUUUAAUGCAGAAAAACGUCUGGUCCGCGGAAAACGCAUUUUCAUGCAGAACGCCUGCAGAAUUUGCCAUUUUUCUGCUACAGAAUUUCCUUAUUUUGAAAGUUGAAUCAAGAUUGAC